rnacentral:lncRNA from 1 species
UCUUUCCCAGGCUGUGGGUUGUGCCCUUCACUCCUUGCCCUCCUCCAUUCCCUGUCCUGAUCUGAACUCCUCUCCUUGCCACGCUCCCUCACCCUUAUCCCUCUGCACACUCCAAAAUUUUUAAAGAAAAAGGAGAGAGAGAAAAAAAAGUAAAAGAAACCCAAAAGGGAAAAUAUAGCUAAGGUGAACUGCAAAACCAUAUUCCUGCUGCUGUCAGUUUUGAUGCACUGAGAAAACUUCAGAGACCUAAGCUUUUUCCAGAGAAGAGAAGCUUUACUGGUGUUCCAGCCCUAAGUCUCGCUCUGUCGCUCAGGCUGGAGUGCAAUGGCGCGAUCUCGGCUCACUGCAAGCUCCGCCUCCUGGGUUCACUCCAUUCUCCUGCCUCAGCCUCCGGAGUAGCUGGGACUACAGGCACCCGCCACCGCGCCCAGCUAAUUUUUUUUUUUUUUAGUAGAGACGCGGUUUCACCGUGUUAGCCAGGAUGGUCUCGAUCUCCUGACCUCGUGAUCCGCUCGUCUCGGCUUCCCAAAGUGCUGAGAUUACAGGCUUGCAGGCGUGAGCCACCGCGCCCGGCCGAGUUAAAGUACUUUUUCUGGAACAAAGAAACUUAGCAUAAAUAGUUAAAAUAUUAAGAGUUGUAAUUAAGGGAAAUUUCAGCUCAAUAUGACUUCAACAGUUUAAAAAAUGUAUUAUUUCACAUAAGACCAUGGAGAGAGGAAUUGGAAGCCCCAGAAUUGAUUGGGUCAGAAAUUGAAAAUGAUACUAUCAGUGACCCAGGUUUGAAUGUCUCUCUCCACAGCAUUGACUUCACUAAUGGAUGUGACCUGGUUGGCAGCAGUAGCUUGCACAACAUGCUUGUUUGCAGUGAGUAGUAGAGAGAAGGUUUUGCUUUCCCAGAAACUCUGAAAAAGGUCAUCAAACCUAAAUUUCCUUAGCCUUCUUCUUCCAUGAGCAAAUCACUAGCAGAUGAUUGCUAGCAAGGUGUUACUAUUACAAUGAACCCCUAAGUGUCAGAGAAAGAGUUAGUUUGGGGAAAUAUCCUCUCCACCACAAUCUUAGUCAUUGAAGUCAAUUUAACAAUAUAUUGAAAUAUUUUUCUUAGAAGUUUAAAGUUCCAUUAAAGAGUAACAAUUACAGAAAUUAUAGGUAGCCUUUAGUUCUACAAGUGACAUCUCAAAAGGGAGAUGAUUCAUCAAUUUCAAACUUUCCCUGCAAGUAAUACUGGAUGAAAAUUAACUUGGCCAACAUAAUUAAUAAUCAUGGGUUAUUAAUUACUUCUGCAAGGUGGGUGUGCUGAUUUUAAAAGGCUUGAAUAAAACAUAAAUUUCCUUAA